ACGAGUAUAGUUAAGCGGUAUAACAUCUACCUUCCAAGUAGAUAUCAUCAGUUCAAUCCUGAUUACUCGUA
rnacentral:tRNA from 1 species